CCUGGUGGCUCAGAGGGUAAAGCGUCUGCCUGCAAUGCAGGAGACCUGGGGUCGAUCCCAGGGUCAGGA
rnacentral:tRNA from 1 species